UUAAAAGCCAACAAAGAACCUGAAGCAUCAGCAUCGAAAGGAAAGGAGAAAGUCAUCGAGGACUAAAACGGGAGAAUUACGAUUAGUAGAAGUCAAGUGUCCCGGCUCAGCAUCCAGAACAAUCCCGACUCCAACACAAACUUGGUGAUGUAUAUUUUUCUUUUGGGUAAAGGUGGCAUGUACAUAGGUGUUAUUUAGUCACUGGAAUAUGUAUAUUACUUUGGGUAGUGAAGGAUGAAUUAUAAAAUUUAGAUAGUUAAAUGAAAUGGUAAGGAAAGUACAUGAUAUUUCGAUACAAGAA